rnacentral:rRNA from 1 species
CCUACGGGAGGCAGCAGUGAGGAAUAUUGGUCAAUGGACGAGAGUCUGAACCAGCCAAGUAGCGUGAAGGAUGACUGCCCUAUGGGUUGUAAACUUCUUUUAUAUGGGAAUAAAAUGUUCCACGUGUGUGAUUUUGUAUGUACCAUAUGAAUAAUGAUCGGCUAACUCCGUGCCAGCAGCCGCGGUAAUACGGAGGAUCCGAGCGUUAUCCGGAUUUAUGGGGUUUAAAGGGAGCGUAGGUGGAUUGUUAAGUCAGUUGUGAAAGUUUGCGGCUCAACCGUAAAAUUGCAGUUGAAACUGGCAGUCUUGAGUACAGUAGAGGUGGGCGGAAUUCGUGGUGUAGCGGUGAAAUGCUUAGAUAUCACGAAGAACACCGAUUGCGAAGGCAGUUCACUGGACUGCAACUGACACUGAGGCUCGAAAGUGUGGGUAGCAAACAGGAUUAGAUACCCUUGUAGUC